rnacentral:piRNA from 1 species
UGAGGAAGCGUUCAGCAAGUGCUGACAACC